rnacentral:rRNA from 1 species
UACGGAGGGAGCUAGCGUUGUUCGGAAUCACUGGGCGUAAAGCGCACGUAGGCGGCUACUCAAGUCGGGGGUGAAAGCCCGGGGCUCAACCCCGGAACUGCCCUCGAAACUAGGUAGCUAGAAUCUUGGAGAGGCGAGUGGAAUUCCGAGUGUAGAGGUGAAAUUCGUAGAUAUUCGGAAGAACACCAGUGGCGAAGGCGACUCGCUGGACAAGUAUUGACGCUGAGGUGCGAAAGCGUGGGGAGCAAACAGG